rnacentral:tRNA from 1 species
GCUCUUUGGCUCAGUAGGUAGAGCAUUGGCCUGAGGAGCGAAGGGUCCUGGGUUCAAUUCCAGGCAAGGGCA